UACGUAGGGGGCAAGCGUUGUCCGGAUUUAUUGGGCGUAAAGAGCGUGUAGGCGGCCAGGUAGGUCCGUUGUGAAAACUGGAGGCUUAACCUCCAGCUGUCGAUGGAAACCAUCUGGCUAGAGUCCGGAAGAGGAGAGUGGAAUUCCUGGUGUAGCGGUGAAAUGCGUAGAUAUCGAGAGGAACACCUGCGGCGAAGGCGGGUUGCUGGGCUGACACUGACGCUGAUGCGCGAAGGCGUGGGGAGCGAACGGG
rnacentral:rRNA from 1 species